rnacentral:lncRNA from 1 species
CCCAGUGAGCAGAAUAAUAAAACAUUAUAAUUAAAGUUCAUGCUCUCAUGAAAUGCAUCACAACACAAACAAAUCACAUUAAGGAUGAACUUGUCACCAAUAGUCCUCUACAUAUCCAACAGUGCCAGGGACGUAGAAUGGGUCUUCCUGGACUUCCUUUUACAUAUCAUAUCAUAACAUUCCAAUGUGCCAGGGACGUAGAAUGGGUCUUCCUGGACUUUCUCUUACAUUGUGCCAGGGACGUAGAAUGGGUCUUCCUGGACUUCCAUACCAUAUCAUCAUCAUCAUCAUACCAUAUCAUACGAGGACUAAUGGAUCAUUCAAUAUUCAUCCACAUCAACAAUAUAAUAUGCAAUGCAACAUAUUCGUAAAUUUCUAAUGCAACAACCUAGAAUAUCACAUGGCAUUCGUGAUGCAUGAGUCAUGCUAAAACUUUC